AUGUUCAGAUUAGCCAUGCAUGUCUCAGUAUAAGCUUCUCUACGGCGAAACUGCGAAUGGCUCAUUAAAACAGUUAUAGUUUAUUUGGUGGUCAGCAAUUACACGGAUAACCGUGGUAAUUCUAGAGCUAAUACAUGCGCCCAAACCCGACUUCGUGGAAGGGUUGUGUUUAUUAGAUACAGAACCAACCCAGGCUCCGCCUGGCCUUGAGGUGAUUCAUAAUAACCGAACGAAUCGCAUGGCUAUGCCGGCGAUAGACCAUUCAAGUUUCUGACCUAUCAGCUAUCGUCGGUAGGGUAUUGGCCUACCGUGGCAAUGACGGGUAACGGAGAAUUAGGGUUCGAUUCCGGAGAGGGAGCCUGAGAAACGGCUACCACAUCUAAGGAAGGCAGCAGGCGCGCAAAUUACCCAAUCCUGACGCAGGGAGGUGGUGACAAGAAAUAACAAUACAGGGCAUACAUGUCUUGUAAUUGGAAUGAGUAAACUUUAAAUCACUUUAC
rnacentral:rRNA from 1 species